GACGUAGGGCGCGAGCGUUGUCCGGAUUUAUUGGGCGUAAAGAGCUCGUAGGCGGCUUGUUGCGUCGACCGGUGAAAACCCGGGGCUCAACUUCGGGCUUGCGGUCGAUACGGGCGGGCUAGAGUUCGGUAGGGGAGACUGGAAUUCCUGGUGUAGCGGUGAAAUGCGCAGAUAUCAGGAGGAACACCGGUGGCGAAGGCGGGUCUCUGGGCCGAUACUGACGCUGAGGAGCGAAAGCGUGGGGAGCGAACAGG
rnacentral:rRNA from 1 species